rnacentral:rRNA from 1 species
GAUGAACGCUGGCGGCGUGCCUAACACAUGCAAGUCGAGCGAAGCGGUUUUAAGGAAGUUUUCGGAUGGAAUUAAAACUGACUGAGCGGCGGACGGGUGAGUAACGCGUGGGUAACCUGCCUCAUACAGGGGGAUAACAGUUAGAAAUGGCUGCUAAUACCGCAUAAGCACACAGCUUCGCAUGGAGCAGUGUGAAAAACUCCGGUGGUAUGAGAUGGACCCGCGUCUGAUUAGCUAGUUGGUAAGGUAACGGCUUACCAAGGCGACGAUCAGUAGCCGACCUGAGAGGGUGACCGGCCACAUUGGGACUGAGACACGGCCCAAACUCCUACGGGAGGCAGCAGUGGGGAAUAUUGCACAAUGGGGGAAACCCUGAUGCAGCGACGCCGCGUGAGUGAAGAAGUAUCUCGGUAUGUAAAGCUCUAUCAGCAGGGAAGAAAAUGACGGUACCUGACUAAGAAGCCCCGGCUAACUACGUGCCAGCAGCCGCGGUAAUACGUAGGGGGCAAGCGUUAUCCGGAUUUACUGGGUGUAAAGGGAGCGUAGACGGCGGAGCAAGUCUGAAGUGAAAGCCCGGGGCUCAACCCCGGGACUGCUUUGGAAACUGUUCUGCUAGAGUGCUGGAGAGGUAAGUGGAAUUCCUAGUGUAGCGGUGAAAUGCGUAGAUAUUAGGAGGAACACCAGUGGCGAAGGCGGCUUACUGGACAGUAACUGACGUUGAGGCUCGAAAGCGUGGGGAGCAAACAGGAUUAGAUACCCUGGUAGUCCACGCCGUAAACGAUG